rnacentral:rRNA from 1 species
UACGGAGGGUGCGAGCGUUGUCCGGAAUCACUGGGCGUAAAGGGCGCGUAGGCGGCGCGGGAAGUCAUCGGUGAAAGUUCAGGGCUCAACUCUGAAUCGGCCGGUGAUACUCUCGUGCUUGAGCACUGUAGAGGCAGGUGGAAUUCCGGGUGUAGCGGUGGAAUGCGUAGAGAUCCGGAAGAACACCGGUGGCGAAGGCGGCCUGCUGGGCAGUAGCUGACGCUGAUGCGCGACAGCGUGGGGAGCAACAGGAU